AUAUUUCGGCCUAACCCGAAGUACUACGACGCCGCUGCUGCCACCACAACGGAGAUCUCGCCGGUGCCCAGCUCGGUUCGUGUGGCGGUGCGUGACCCCAACUGGCUCGCCGCCAUGCGGGCUGAGCACGAUGCACUUGUUCGCAACCGAACAUGGACGCUGGUGCCUCGGCCUCCUGGUGCCAACCUCAUCACCGGCAAGUGGCUCUUCAAGCACAAGAUGAACGCCGACGGCACGCUGGAGCGGUACAAGGCCAGGUGGGUCGUGCGCGGCUUUCGCCAGCGCGCCGGCAUCGACUACGGCGAGACAUUCUCUCCGGUCGUCAAGCCAGCAACGAUUCGCACGGUGCUCACCCUCGCUGCAUCUCGCGGUUGGCCGGUGCACCAACUUGACGUCUCCAACGCCUUCCUCCAUGGCACACUCGCCGAGGAGGUCUACUGC
rnacentral:rRNA from 1 species